GGCCCUUUGGCCCAAUGGUAAGGCGUCUGACUACGACCAAACACGUUAAUGCGUUUGACAGUUAUCAGGAGAUUCUCGGUUCGAGCCCGAGGAGGGUCA